GGGAGAGGAGGUUUGGACGAGGAUCUGUCGGCUCGGUUCUGAUGACCUCCUGCCUCCUGCGCUCCGUGUGGUCAUCAGCUUCUCCUCAGGGGUUUGUCUCCAAAAGGACAGACGUGCCACAGUCCGACUUUUGACAAAGUUCUUCAAAAUUUCACCAGAAGGGAGGCGCUCUGAGGCCACGCCCCCAGCUGCCACGCCCCCUCCCUUACAUAUUUACCUGAACUUCCUCUGUGAGCUGAACCUCCUGCAGAGGACGGACUGAAGCUCAGACUCAGCACAGAGACAGCAGCCAGCAUGAACAAGGACAAGGAAGGUCAGGCCAAACAAAGUGAAGAGGAUUACACUGAAUGAGCGUCAGCACCUGGCCUUUGUGAGGCAGAGAGUCUACAACUUGGCCCCCGUAUCCUUCACCAGCAAGGCGGAAAAAGACGUGUCCAUGUGCGGACGCUUCAUAGAGUAUGUGUGUCUUCAGGGGAAGGUGAGUGUGUGUGUCCUGAAACAAAGUGUGUGUGACAGACAAACAUUCUGAUUGUGUGUGUGUGUGUGUGUGUGUGUGUGUGUGUGUGUUCUCAGGCACAGACGAAGCACCUGACAGGCUAUAAAUUACCUGAGAACAGCACCAUUGCUUAUGGCCUCAAAAUGAUACACAUUGAAGACGGAGUGCUGGACAUCCCCAUCGAUCACACGAGGAGUCUCACUGAGGAAAUCAGCCUGACCAGUCGCCAAAUCCUGCAGUGGUGUGUCAAAGAUAUAACAGACAAAGAGGUUCUGCUGCAGCCUCUGGCAGGUCUUCCUGAGUCCACUCGCGGUGAGCUGCUGAGGACACUGAGACAGCUGCUGGAGGACGGAGACGCUCUGUCCCAGCUGGAGGACACGGUAACACAAUGUUCACAACACUCCACACUUAAAGGUGUGGACACAGUGUCCUCUGCUCAGUGUGUUUCUGAUGUGAUGCAGACAGAGAGCUAUGCUGCAGCCACCAGGGGGCGUGGUGUCCCUGUUUGUCCAGUCUCUGAGUGUCUCUCUUGUCUCUGAGCAGAUGGAUCAGUGCAGUGAUGGAGCGUCAGAGCGUCCACAGUCUCAGCUGGCGGCCUCCUUCAUGGACCUCCUCGAUGUGUCCCAGGCCUCCUCAGCUCUGAGGGACGCCGCCCACCUUCUGGUCAACAUCAUGAAAGGUAAGGGUCACCUGUCAGAGACAUGUGGGGCAGAGACAGACGGGUCAUCUGAUGUUUGGACCUUCUUGUCUUGGUGCAGCGUUACCGGACGGUCUUCCUGCUCUUCUGUCCUCCUGCAGUCUGGACACACUGGAAGUCUUCAAACACAUGGUUGGUGCUCACUUGUCCUCAGAUCCUGACUCGCUGUCAGGGAGCUAACUCUGUCUGUCUCCAGGUGGACAGCCUGAAAAAGGAUGGACAGGCCCAGCUCCCUCGGGCACUGCCCCGUCCCCUGCAGGAGGACGGCGAGCUGCGGCGGGCGGCUUACUUCCUGUGUCUCACCGAUCAUCUGGCAGACAUGCGGGACGACUGGGAGUUUGCGGAGCUGCGUCCAGGAGACCUGCUGGAGGUUCUGUGUCUCGCUGUGCUGGGACUCAGCCUGCUGCAGACCCAUUGUGAAGCCUGAUUAACAGCUGUCCACACCAUGUCCACACACAGCAGCAUGUCCACACACAGCAGCAUGUCCACACACAGCAGCAUGUCCACACACAGCAGCAUGUCCACACACAGCAGCAUGUCCACACACAGCAGCAUGUCCACACCAUGUCCACACACACACAGCAGCAUGUCCACACCAUGUCCACACACAGCAGCAUGUCCACACACAGCAGCAUGUCCACACACAGCAGCAUGUCCACACACAGCAGCAUGUCCACACACAGCAGCAUGUCUGUAUUUCUGCCUCUGACCUUUGAUCAGGUGAUUGUAUGGAUUGUA
ensembl:lncRNA uncharacterized LOC114443892